UUGCUGGGUUAUCCACGAGUCACUAUAACUCAGCUAUUGUUGGUAAUUGCAAUAGGAAUGAUUUCAAGCUCUAUUUUUCUUGGACUAAGUAAUAAUUGCACUGGAAUCCAGAAUAGGGCCUCAGUACUCUUCACAUUGACAGUCUUUCCGUGUUUCAGCAGUGUGUCAGCUGGGGAGAUCUUUGUGCUUGAGGAGA